rnacentral:lncRNA from 1 species
CAGUCAGUCUGAAUGCUAUUGCAAGGCCAAGCCGCGAUCAUGGAGCCGGCUGAUAUGGCGACAGCAAAGGUAGGAUGGAAAUGCUGCCGGCCGCACUGUGCGUAAGUGGCUUCGCUUGGCAAGUUCUGCCUUUGGUUCACUUUUCUCUCCCCUCCUCUCCCUCAGCCCACCACUCCGGAGCAUCCAGGGGCUGUGUCAGAGCGGAGGGAAAUGGUGCGAGAGUGAGGGCCUCACAGGAGGGAGGAAGGCCAUGCCUGUCGUCCCAGACACACGCCUCACCUUUGUGUGCCUGGAGGUCUGGGUGGGCGUGGGCGGUGACCUGUAGCUUGGUCUGGGCUGCCCUGUGUGUCUGUCUCUUUAGCUUUGCCUCGGUUUUCGUGAAUCCUUAUCCCGUCUCUCGCCCCUCUCCUUUAUUCUGUCUUCUUUCUCUGCCUCCUCUCUGCACUACCAUGCCCUCUUAGUCCAUUUGUGCCAUCUCCAUACUUUCUUUACACCUUCUGUUUGCCUCUCUUUUCCCUCUGCUUGUUGUAUCAGGAAAGGGUGGGGUCGGUGUGGGCUGGGCCGUCUUUAAGAGCAGAGACUGCCUCUCAUCCUGCAGCAGAUGUUGGCCUUGGGAUUGGCGAGGAGUUUGUCUCUGAGUGGCAGAUGCUGCUGUUGUCCCCUCCCACCGUUCAUCGGAUGCCCCAAUGGAAGUGCGGGUCUGGGCACCUCUAGGGAAUGGUGCCAGGGUGCUGCGUCGCACGGAGAGUAGGCACACUAGAGGGCGCCUGUGAGAUAGGUUUCUAAUCUGUCCUGACUCCUGCUUGCAGUUCGAAAUUUGUUUUCCUGUGCAUUUUUUCCAAACGAGGAGGAGCUUCAGCCAUUGAGAGUGGAUGGGGGAGCUAAGGAGGCUGUAAGCCUCAACCCCAGCCCCUGUCCAGAGAGAGACCUCUAGCCCUUCCAGAAUAACCCAGUGCUUGGUUUGGGGGCCUUCCUCUUUGGCCAGAUGGCAGGGUCUCCUUUCUCUCAGAGAUGGAAGACUGGACGAGGCUCAGACUUCUGGAGCAGGUUGGGUACCCCAUGUGUGUAUGGAAGAGAGAAUGAGGUAGGAGGCCCAAGCAGCAGUGGUGCUGCAGGCAGGAGUGUGUUCAAGUGGUUAGGACAUGUCUUUGGGAAUCACAGAACUGGGUUCUCAGCCCCUUUCUCCCACUCCCACCUGCUGUGUGAUCUGAUCAAGUUAUUUAACCUCUCUAGGCUUCCCUCUUCUAGUUUGCAUAAGGAGAAGAAUUCCAUGCAGAUGUUGUUUUAGCCAGCUUAGAGCUGUCAAAUACUGCCUUUUCUUUGCAGAAAGCAGCUUGCGAAAGCGAAACUAGGUAACAGACCUCCCUGGAUUCCUGGACCUCUUGGCCCCUCAGUCCUCCCUUCCUCUCUCUUUCCCUCCUUCUACAAACAUUUGAGGAUUCACAUUGGGCAUGGCUGGUGCAAGGUGCAUGUGCAGCCAUGGAAGCAAGCAUCUGCAACUGUUUGGAUUCAGACCAGUUUGCUCUAAGCAGUGUGCUGUCUGGCUGCAGUGCUGCUCUCUGUGAUGUGAGUGUCAUUUCUUGCCAGGCUUACCUCUUCCAAACCUGCCAGUCAGCUAGCUCUUAAAGUAGUAAGUGGUUUGGGAUCAACCAGCUGUCUCUCAGGGGUGGUGAUGGUGA